UGGGGAAUAUUGCACAAUGGGCGAAAGCCUGAUGCAGCAACGCCGCGUGAGUGAUGAAGGUCUUCGGAUUGUAAAGCUCUGUCUUUUGGGACGAUAAUGACGGUACCAAAGGAGGAAGCCACGGCUAACUACGUGCCAGCAGCCGCGGUAAUACGUAGGUGGCGAGCGUUGUCCGGAUUUACUGGGCGUAAAGGGUGCGUAGGCGGAUGUUUAAGUGAGAUGUGAAAUACCCGGGCUUAACUUGGGUGCUGCAUUUCAAACUGGAUAUCUAGAGUGCAGGAGAGGAGAAUGGAAUUCCUAGUGU
rnacentral:rRNA from 1 species